rnacentral:rRNA from 1 species
AAAUUCUCAACGAUGGAUAUCUUGGUUCCCAUAACGAUGAAGAACGCAGCGAAGUGCGAUAAGCAAUGCGAAUUGCAGAACCGUGAGUCAUCAGAUUUUUGAACGUAACUGGCGCCUAUUGGUCUUCCGAUAGGCAUGC